rnacentral:rRNA from 1 species
UACGUAGGGUGCAAGCGUUAAUCGGAAUUACUGGGCGUAAAGCGUGCGCAGGCGGUUAUGCAAUACAGAUGUGCAAUCCCCGGGCUCACCCUGGGAACUGCAUUUGUGACUGCAUAGCUAGAGUACGGUAGAGGGGGAUGGAAUUCCGCGUGUAGCAGUGAAAUGCGUAGAUAUGCGGAGGAACACCGAUGGCGAAGGCAAUCCCCUGGACCUGUACUGACGCUCAUGCACGAAAGCGUGGGGAGCAAACAGG